rnacentral:lncRNA from 1 species
UUUUUUUUUUUUUUUUGCUUUUUGCUUUUUGCUUUUUAGGGCCACACCCACAGCAUAUGGAGGUUCCCAGGCUAGGGUUUGAAUCAGAGCUGUAGCUGCUGGCAUUACACCACAGCGUCUGUGACCUACACCACAGCCUGCGGCAAUGCCGGAUCCUCAACCCACUGAACAAGGCCAGGGAUCAAACCUGCGUCCUCACGGAUGCUGAUCAAAUUCGUUAACCACUGAGCCACACUAGGAACUCCAGCUCUUUGGAGACGAGGGAUAACUAACUGGUGAACUAUUUCUCUUGCUGACAAAACAGCAACAAUUAUUUAUAAUUUCUAUCACUGGUAUUGCUAAAUCUGGCUGAAAUCAUCCUGAGGUGAGAACAGUAUUGUUAUUUUGUUGGAGUUUUUAGGAAAAUUAGAGUUACUGACCAAAAAACCUGGCAAAGCCUUUGUUAAUCAAAUACCUCAAAACUUUUUACACAGUAGGCUAGCUUCUUGAUUUUGCUGGACUUUACUGUGGAUGCACAGAUGUCACUGUCAUCCUCAGUCCUAGAAUGUCCUUGAAAUACAUGGUCUAUUUAUAAACCCAGGAGAAUAUCUGUAGGAUUUCUACUGUGAACUACUGAAGGGGGAGGGAAAAAAAGGCAAACACAGCUUUGGCCCGCAAUUCACAUGUGAAAUCUUUAAGGCAAAGACAAGGAUCGAGUCAUUUUCGGCAUAUAUAGAAAUAGAUUUUACUCCUUGGGGGUAAUGUCAGUAUAAAUGGAAAACAAUUUAGUUGAAACUAGACAAUAAAUUCAUUCCGUUCAGUGGAAAUUAGGUACCAAAAUACACCAUCCCAUAUAGAAAUCAGAUACUGCGCACUGCUCCAAGCAUAUGACUUCUCUAUGGAAAAUAAAAGAGAUUUUCGUGCAAUUAAAAACAGUGGUAUUUAUUGGUCCUGCAAGAACGUGAUAGGAAGUGUACAGAUUCUGAAGCUCCUUUUUUCUUCAUGGCUUCUGGAUAUGACAGUAGAGUGUUAAUAUUUCUUUUGAUCCUUUUUCAAUGGAGAGGAUACUUACUUCCUUCUACCUGAAAGUAGGGUGUUGAGCAAUACUUAGAAGAGGACAACUGAAAUAACUUUAAAGGCAUGAUGCCCAGAAAGCUUACCACAUGGGUUUUCAACACCUGUGCUCUUUAAUGCCCAAGGGAGGUUCUUCUAAAAUACUUGAGUUACUCUCACACUAAUUAAGCUAAACACAAUUGAGUUUAUCUUAGGAGAUACGGUUGCAUAUAAAGGACAGGUGAGAUGAGUGUUUAUUAGCAGAUAUUUGUUUGAGUUUUUUAACAAAUAUGAUUACCCUUGAUACUUACAAUAGUAUGUUCAGUUGAAGACACUAAGUCUCAGGAUCUAAGUUUCCACCUGGAAUCAAAACUUGGGAGUGUUCUUUCCACUAUACGCAGAACAUGACAAAGUGUUGUCUGAAGUGUAUUCUCAGAUAGAGGCAUAAGAGAGAAACACAUAAUGUGUAGGUAUGCCUUGUCUACCUUUUUUGCCAGCUUUGUUUGUGUUGUAGGCCUUUGUUAUACAAAAAUCUGCACCCGGAGAGAAAGAGGACUUUUGAGGGUGAUGGUGGGGCAGAAAAGAAAAAACAAGGAGCCCAGCAUGCUUUCAUUGACUCAGGAAAGGGCACAGCACUGUUGCUGAGGGAGAGACUAAUUGAGUUUGAGAGCGUGCAGGAAUCAGGGUGGGGACGCGGAGAAGAGCCCAAAGAAAGCUUUGGCGAGUUUGCAGAGAGAGUUGCAGAGUCUGGUGGGCGGAGAGGGAUGGACCUGCCAAGUGCUUCAGAUUCUGAAAAUGCAGAAAAGGGCGUUUUAGAGACUGGUGCAUUAGAUCCCAUUUUAGCUUUUAAAUGUUUGUCGAGAGACUUGACCAAACAUCUCAAUUGCUGACUGCAUUUUGGAUUGGAGUUUUCCUCCAAGCGCACAUUGCCAGGCCUGGCCCUUGGGGAGCUGGAACCCAUGUGGGUUACAUUGUGUCUUUAAAACUCGAUACACACACUCCUAACCUUUGUACAUAUAUGUAUAUAGUUAUCUGUAUGUAAAUAUAUGUUAUGUCUUUAUAUGUACACAUGGAAAAUACAAGUGUAUAUGUAUAUAUUUAUGUGAUUUAUACAGAUAUUUGUUUUACACAAAUAAACACCACCGACUUCUCACAGUGUUGGCAGUGUCGUAUUGUUUAGAACAGGCUUUUCAAACCACUUUACAUUUUUCUGAAUUUGGAGGGGAGAUGGUGCCAACAAGUGGAACCCCUGAAAGGAGAUGGGGUUAUGUCCUGACAGGGGAACGCCUCAGUGGAAUCUGGGAUGCCUGCUGCUGCUGUUUGGACUUCCUUCCUUGCCGUAUAUUGAGGAAAUGUAGAGGAGAAAGAUUUGGAAGAGAUAAAGCAUUAAGAGUAGCAAUCAGCUUGGGUGUGUCUUCAGAAGAAAACCGAGAAUCUAAGAAUACAUCAGAGUCUGUUGGUGGGCAGCCUUCAUGUACUAGAACACGCCUGAUCUGAACAAUGAAAACAUUUGCAUUUUCAACAUGGUACCCCUUUGGGGAGUUAUUUGGCUUUCCACGGUGUAUUGAUUGCAAUACCCAGAAUUCUAGAUGCGUUCAGAUGGGUUGCUAAGGGUUAACUCCUGGCAGCAUGGUGUGUUAUGUUAAUGAUGUAGUUAGAAACUGAAGAUUAGUAAACUGUAGCAAUAAAAUAAGCAGGGUCAUUCGACCCAUUAGGACGAACUGCGAAGGAAUAUAGCUGGUUUUAAUUUGUUGAGGGAAUCUCUUAAAGGUUGAUGCUGUGUGGGCUGCUUUUUUCAAUAGGUUCAUAUAGUUUUUCUAGCUAUGCUGUUCCAGAUUUAAGCUUUACAGAAAAGCAGCUUUUGUCCCUAUGUUAAGAUAAGCAGAGUCCACAGAGAAAAUUCAGGUUGCCUCUGUGCAGUGUAGAGAGUUCCUCUUCUUUCUUUCUUUCUUUUGGUCUUUUUAGGGCCGCACCUGCUGCAUAUGGAGGUUCCCAGGCUAGGGGUCAAUUUGGAGCUGUAGCUGCCAGCCUACACCAUAGCCACAGCAACAGGGGAUCCGAGCCACGUGUGCAACCUACACCACAGCUCACAGCAACGCCAGAUCCUUAACCCCCUGGGUGAGGCCAGGGAUCGAACCCGUGUCAUCAUGGAUACUAGUCAGGUUUGUUACCGCUGAGCCACAACAGGAACUCCUAGAGAGAUCAGACUCUUGAGUCAUGACAGUACAGUCAGUGCUAUUACAGGGAUCAGCAAGUUUUCUGGGGUAUUGAUCUCCUUUGUGGGUAAUCAUUCUAAAAUUUUCAUGAUUAAUUCUUGAAAUUCUUGGCUCAAACUCCAGUUAGGAGCUUUCAGCAUGAGAGUUCUUAAAGGACCACAAGAACUUAUUCUAUGAAUCAUCCAUCAAUUGUGAGGGUUUUUAAAGUGACCCUUUGGCAUCUGGGGGCCUCAUUUUUACCUGGGCUGCAUUUCUGGGGUAGUUAUGAGGACUUCCGUUGGCUCUUGAAUACCAGGAAGACCUACUCUGUGAGUUAGUACCCACAGUGUGGUUGUAGGGCACCCCUUUAACUUGUGGAUUGUGUUCUCCAGAAUCUGAUUGGUUUUCAGAAGAGUUAAACCCACCGUCUAUUCAGAGGUAAUGGUGUGUUUCAGACUUUGGGACUUCGGCAGCACAACUCAAAACAGAGGAAUUAAGAGUAAAUCAAGCAACAUUAAAGAGUCUAAUAGGAGUGGGGUUUAGAGCACAUCCGUGGAAAAGCUCAAUAGCAAAUUAGGGUUCCCUUAACAAUUCCGAGGUUCUGGCAGGAGAAAUCCAGUGUCUGGCCAAACUCAGGAUCAGGUGGUCGCAAACAAGUCCAUGGUGAAUAAUUCUUUCGCUGGCAGUCUCUUUUUUUUCUGGUUAUGAUUGUUAAGUAGCUCUCUAAAUAUUCUCUUUGUAUUGAGUCAAGGACUUGAGUCGGAACAAGCUCGAAUCCUGUGUAGUUUACAUCCCAGGGUCUGUGUUUAUUUUUCAUCAAGCAUUAAAAUGUAUCAUGUAUUAACAGUGUUAAUAUAGUUCUUUAUAAGAAGUCUUGUACAUGGGAGUUCCCAUCGUGGCACAGUGGUUGACAAAUCUGACUAGGAACCAUGAGGUUGUGGGUUCAAUCCCUGGACUUGCUCAGUGGGUUAAGGAUCCGGCAUUGCCAUGAGCUGUGGUAUAGGUUGCAGACGUGGCUCGGAUCCCACAUUGCUGUGGCUGUACAGCUCUGAUUAGACUUCUAGUGUGGGAAUCUCCACAUGCCGUGGGAAGUGGCCCUAGGAAAGACAAAAGAUUAAAAAAAAAAAAAAAAAAGUCUUAUACAAUCCAAGGGGAUGAGUUGAGUUGAUGGGCAUUUAGGUAGUUUUUCUUCAUUGCAGAAGGAGGGACUGAGUUUUUCCAGAAGCGAUUUAAGAGAGAGAGCAGGAGAAAUAGCUGUAGAUGGAAUGUAGACAUUCUAGAGAUGGAAUUUCAAGGUAGAAACAUGUUGCCAUGGAAACAAAGGUUUGAGUAGGAGUAAGAAGAAGUAAGAGUUGCAGAGGGAAGUAUAUUUGGAAAAAUGAAGGAAGGAAAAAUAAGUUUGCACUUUAACUCACUUAUAAUUGUGUUUGCCAAGUCAGACUCACUUUUGUACUACCCUCCUGGUCCUUUUCCCUCACAGUUUGUGUGUAAAGUAUACAUCCAUGUAUAUGUUUAACCAGCCUAAGCGCUUAAGGAUUAACUGCUCUUUUCCUGGAUUCAGCUUUUUUUUAACUAGACUAAGCCCUUAAAAUGUAAAUAAAGGUCAGGUAUCAUGUGUUUUUCAUUUCCUGCUGUGCCUCCACAAUGGAAAAGCUCAACCCAUGUUGGAUGAAUAGUUUCCAUUUAAUUUCAGUAGUGCCUUCUGAAUACCUGUUGUGGGCAGGGCCUUGUCCUAGACGCUGUAGUCAUAUCAAGGACUUAAUCUGUAAUCUCUGCCAUGAGGAGCGUUGACACUCAGAAAGCAGAAUGAGGUUGUAGCAGGAAGUUUAAGAGUAGUUAAUGUGUGUCUGUCACUUAUAUGCUAGAUUUAGCACUUUGCAUCCAUUAUUUCAUGUAAUUCUCCGGGCAGACCUAGAGGGUUAGAUAUUAUUAGCCUCCUCUUCCUUAAAGAAACUGAAUCUCAAAUAAGAUAUGCCAAUCAUUGUGAUAACUACAAGUGGAAGCCCAGGUCCACCUUGGUGCCUGGGGAAAACCAAAGCAAGUCUCUUGCGUAUACCUCUGUGUUGCCGUCGUAUAUGUGUGUGAGCAGCGGGUGUGGGCAAGUGCAAACAUACGGAGUUUUAAGAAUAGGAAGAGAUGUCUGAGCAUGGAGUGAUGAUAGCUAAUUUAGGAGAUCUGGAAAAACCCCAAAGGGGUAAUAACUGAUACAGACCUUGAAGAGGUCGGAGAGGAAUCAUUCGCUGUAGAAGGAACAGCACCAGGAAUGGUGUUAAGGUUUAUUAGAAUAUGAUGUGUAUUGACCAUUUGAAUAACACUUUUUAAAAAAAUAAUCAUUUUGGGGGACUUCCUUCUUGGCUCAGCAGUUAAUGAACCUGACUAGGAUCCAUGAGGAUAUGGGUUUGAUCCUUGGCCUCGCUCAGUGGGUUAAGGAUCUGGUGAUGCUGUGAACUGCGGUAUAGGUCGCAGAUGUGGCUCAGAACUUGCAUUGCUAUGUCUGUGGCAUACCCCGGCGGCUGUAGCUCUCAUUUAACCCCUAGUCCGGGAACUUCCAUGUGCUUUUGGGUCCCCCCCCCAAAAAAAUCAUUUUUCUAGCAUAUGAAUUGGACACUAAGAAAAUGGAGGGUUUUACCAAGGCAGGGCCCAUCAGACACUUGGUAUGCAACCCAUGCCAGGCCUCGGAUGGUGUAGUUUUGAUGAUGCUUAUUCAAAUUUGGACAGUAGUUAGUUACAGAGUUUCAUUUAAAUACAUGACCAUUGUUUGAUUUAGUUGGAUAUAGUAGUGGCCCAAGGAAAACCAACGUACAUGUUCCAGCCAUCAAAAUAAUUGUUCACAAAAUUUUAUUGCUUUGACGGUGUGUUAAUUGCUUUGAUGAUGUGUUCAUUGGGAGACAGUUGAAAUGAACAAUUAAAGGAAAACAAUUAUAUCAUUAUAAGUUCUCAAAGCCAGUCCUUGGAGUUAGAAUCUAGGAUAUUAACAGCAGGAUGCAGAUACCUUGCUUCCUCAUCUCCUGUUUCUUUGUGAAAGAUUAAUAUAUUAAUUUAUGUAAUCGCAGUCUGUCACUAAUGCUUCUGCGUCAUCACCCCCAUACAUCCAAGUCCCGUGACUGUACUUAAGCUUUCAUUUACAAGGUUACUUGCACCACAUUCUCACUAAAUUCAUCAUGAAGGUUGAACUGGUUCUUAUUUAAGUAUGAUGAUUGCUAUUUUAUAGGCAGAGAAUAGGAGGCAAAGACAUUGACAGUGUAUAUUUGCAUUGAUGAGAAAACGUUGUACUUAGAGGCCUGUGUUCAAUGUAAUGACAUUAAUUGCAUUCUUGAUUUUCUAAAAAAUUUGGGGGUUCUUGGAUGGUUUAAGGGUAGAUUCUUGCAGAGGAGAUAAUAUGUUGGGGCUCUUUUUCCAUAAGUAGGUAAAGAUCUUGACCAGAUGUUUGAUAGCUUUGGUCCUUGUGAUCUAUGCCAGUUCUGGAAUUCAAGAAGUCUAUAGCUUAAUUAGUUGUUAGUUCUGGAACUAUACAACAUUUUAGCCAUUAUGUCACAUAAAAUGUCAAAUUAUAGUGUCAAGUUUAAAUACAAUUUGAAAAACCUUUUGUGUGUGUAAGUAACAGAUCUUCACCAAAUUGGAAUCCUGGUUAUUUGCCUGUGUCACACAGAAUUUAUAUAUAUGUAUUUUUAGCUUUUUAGGGCCGCAAAUUUGGUAUAUGAAAGUUCUCAGGCUAUGGGGAGAAUUGCAGCUGUAGCUGCUGGCCUACACCACAGCCACAGCAGUGCAGGAUCUGAGCCACAUCUGCAACCUACAUCACAGCUCAUGGCGACGCCAGGUCCUCACCUACCGAGUGAGGCCAGGGAUUGAACCCACAUCCUCAUGGAUACUAGUGCAGUUCGUAACCCACUCAGCCACAAUGGGAACUCCUAUACUUUUUAAUUACAGUAGCCACAUCAUUCUAAACAUUGUCUCAAAAUCUAUGCAGAUCAACAAGAACAGGGAAAACUGUAAAACCCCAUGCUUUAGGUAGACUAGGAUGACAGAACACUACACACUUCAAAUUAUCUGCAGUAGGAAGGUAAAUACCAGCUUCUGGAAAAGAUAUUUCUUAUUUUCCGUCUCAAGCCUUUGUGGAGAACUGGGCUUUUGGACAAUAUUAGACAGAAAAGCGAAGAUGUAAUUGAGCUGAAAUCAACCAUCAAGAGAGAAAAUCAAUCCUAAAUUCAAAAAUAUGAAAAAGAGGCCUGGGUAGUUCAGAGCAUUGACUGCAGGAGGAAGAACCACGCAAGCAGCCAAACAGGCAGUCUGGAAAAGGCAGCGCAUCCUGGAAGAAGGAAUGAGAGGCUGACUAAUGGCCUCUAAGCAUGUCCAUGUCAGCAUCCGUGGAGCCUUUCAAUCUGACAUGGUUUUCUGAACCAGGGACUUUGCAGAUGUUAUUAUAUUAAGGAUCUUAUUAUAUAAGGGGAAGUUAUCUUUGAUUAUCUGGGUGGGCUCUAAGCGAAACGAUGAAUGUCUUUAUUAGGGGGAGGCAGGUUGGGGUUCGAUGGCAGAGGAGAAGGCAGUGUGAGGACAUGGAACUGAGAUUGGAGCUGUGCAGCCACCAGAAUGUAGAAGACUAAGAGCAAAUUCUCACCUGGAGCCUCCCCAGAAGGAAACAGCUCUGCCAACACCUUGAUUUUAGCUGCAUGUGACUUCUUUGUAAACUUUUGGUUUUCAGAACUAUGGAUUGCUGUUGUUUUUAAGCCUUUAAAUUUCUGAGAAUUUGUUAUAGCAUCGAAAGGAAACUAAUACAGAGAUUAAAUGAAAGUUACCUUUGGAAACUCUCUGGUGAAAGCAUGAAGAAGCAGGGGGGAAUUUAGGAUCCUGAAAGACAUGAAACACCGAAAAAAAAAAAAAA